rnacentral:rRNA from 1 species
UACGGAGGGGCUAGCGUUGUUCGGAAUUACUGGGCGUAAAGCGCACGUAGGCGGCUUUGCAAGUUAGAGGUGAAAGCCCAGGGCUUAACCCUGGAAUUGCCUUUAAAACUGCAUCGCUAGAAUUGUGGAGAGGUAAGUGGAAUUCCGAGUGUAGAGGUGAAAUUCGUAGAUAUUCGGAAGAACACCAGUGGCGAAGGCGACUUACUGGACACAUAUUGACGCUGAGGUGCGAAAGCGUGGGGGAGCAAACAGG